GAGUUUGAUCUUGGCUCAGAUUGAACGCUGGCGGCAGGCCUAACACAUGCAAGUCGAGCGGAUGAAGGGAGCUUGCUCCUGGAUUCAGCGGCGGACGGGUGAGUAAUGCCUAGGAAUCUGCCUGGUAGUGGGGAUAACGUCCGGAAACGGGCGCUAAUACCGCAUACGUCCUGAGGGAGAAAGUGGGGGAUCUUCGGACCUCACGCUAUCAGAUGAGCCUAGGUCGGAUUAGCUAGUUGGUGGGGUAAAGGCCUACCAAGGCGACGAUCCGUAACUGGUCUGAGAGGAUGAUCAGUCACACUGGAACUGAGACACGGUCCAGACUCCUACGGGAGGCAGCAGUGGGGAAUAUUGGACAAUGGGCGAAAGCCUGAUCCAGCCAUGCCGCGUGUGUGAAGAAGGUCUUCGGAUUGUAAAGCACUUUAAGUUGGGAGGAAGGGCAGUAAGUUAAUACCUUGCUGUUUUGACGUUACCAACAGAAUAAGCACCGGCUAACUUCGUGCCAGCCGCCGCAGU
rnacentral:rRNA from 1 species